rnacentral:rRNA from 1 species
AACGAACGUUGGCGGCGUGGAUUAGGCAUGCAAGUCGAACGCGAAUCCCUGGGCAACUGGGGAGGAGAGUGGCGAAAGGGGCAGUAAGGCGUGGGUAACCUACCCUCCGGGCCGGGAUAGCUUCGGGAAACUGAAGGUAAUACCGGGCGACGCAGCGAGAUCGCAUGGUCUUGCUGCCAAAGGUCCGCCGCCGGGGGAGGGGCUCACGUGGUAUUAGCUAGACGGCGGGGUAACGGCCCACCGUGGCAAAGAUGCCUAGCAGGUGUGAGAGCACGACCUGCGCCACUGGCACUGAGACACUGGCCAGACACCUACGGGUGGCUGCAGUCGAGGAUCUUCGGCAAUGGGCGCAAGCCUGACCGAGCGACGCCGCGUGUGCGAUGAAGGCCUUCGGGUUGUAAAGCACUGUCGAGAGGGAGGAAGCCGCAAGGUUGACCUAUCCCUGGAGGAAGCACGGGCUAAGUUCGUG